UACAGAGGUCUCGAGCGUUAGGCGGAAUCACUGGGCUUAAAGCGUGUGUAGGCGGAUUGCUAAGUACCUUGUGAAAAUCCCACGGCUUAACCGUGGAACUGCUUGGUAUACUGGCUGUCUUGAGCCACUUAGGGGCAACCGGAACAAACGGUGGAGCGGUGAAAUGCGUAGAUAUCGUUUGGAACGCCAAUGGUGAAAACAGGUUGCUGGGAGUGUGCUGACGCUGAGACACGAAAGCCAGGGGAGCAAACGGG
rnacentral:rRNA from 1 species